GUUACUCUGCGGCGUUGGUGACUGCCAAUAAUGUUUUGUGAUCUAUGCUUGUUCGAUAAGGGAGUCUAUAGAGAGCUUAGCGGCAGUAGACCGGGCUUAGUUACUCGGAAACUUUUAAGCUAGAGCCAAAGGCACCCACCUGGAUUUAGUCCAGGUCAAAAACUGAGGCAAGACGGCGUUGCGGAAACCCU
rnacentral:other from 1 species